rnacentral:rRNA from 1 species
UACGAAGGGGACUAGCGUUGUUCGGAAUUACUGGGCGUAAAGCGCGUGUAGGCUGAUUAGUCAGUCAGGGGUGAAAUCCCGGGGCUCAACCCCGGAACUGCCUUUGAUACUGCUAGUCUUGAGACCGGUAGAGGUGAGUGGAAUUCCGAGUGUAGAGGUGAAAUUCGUAGAUAUUCGGAGGAACACCAGUGGCGAAGGCGGCUCACUGGACCGGUACUGACGCUGAGACGCGAAAGUGUGGGGAGCAAACAGG